CAAGAAAGACACAGCCCUGACUUCCCAGAGCCUGACCUCAAGUGAGGAGGACACUAAACAUAAUUAUGUAAAUGAUCACUUAGGUGGCAAUGGUGUAAACAGAUGUGAGUGCUGCCCUGGCUGCAGGGGGAGAGACAGGUGUGGACCACUCCAGCACAGUUUGCAGCCUAUUCUUUCUCCCUUCUCUCUCACUCCCCUACCCACUGGCCCCAGAGCAGAUGAUCUUAAACCAGAGCACUCAGUGACCACUGACACAGAGUCAGAUGGACAAGGUGGGGAGGUUCUUGGGAGUGGAUGGUUCCCCCUGUCCUUCCAGCUUAACAUUUGCCUGGCAGGACGCUGAUGUUCUGUGAUGUCACAGAGGAAAUAGUCCUGGGGUUUCUGACGACCACCUAAUAGCCAAGUACGUAUGUCCCCUCACUCCUUUAGCUCACACUUGCUGAGCCUUCCUCCAUGCACACUUGCCUCCGUGCUCAGUGUCAAGGGUACAGACAACAGUCAGGCAAGGGGAUGUGGGCUCAUUGAGGACCACUACCAACCCCCUCUCCUCUCCUUUCAUCCUGGAACAUGGCCUCUUAUUUAUGGGACUUUCCACUUCAGCUAUGUUAACAACAUAUGAAAUACUUGGAAAGCACUUGGGGGAAAGAACACUCCCGGCCCACAGGCCAGCAGGAAACCAUAUUACCUAAAGAAGCGGUGGCAGUGACCCUGGGAACCCCUGUAACAGUGGAGAUGCAAAGCUUUUAAAAGAAAGCACAGGGGAGCAUUUUCAUGUGCACAUGCAGAAAAGAUGUCUUAAACAAGACCAAAGUUAACUAUGGAGGGAAAAAUUGGUAAGAUGGACUAUAUUAAGAACUUCUGUUCAACAAAAGAAAGUGAAAAGGCAAGGUACAAAGGUGGACUCCAAGGCCUUAAGAGCUUGACCAUUUUUCCUGCACUUGACACCUACUGCCAAAUUGCUUUCCAGAGGGUGGCAGCAAUUUUCAUUCCGACACCACAUAUGGACAUGGAUAUCUGUUUUGUUGUGCUCUCACCAGUAUUCAGUGGAACCUUAAAAUAUUUGUUGCUUAUUUGAUGGGCAGAAAAAAGAAUCACUGAGUUGUUUUAGUGCUAUACCCUUGGGCUUUAUCAAAAGGAACAAAACAAAAUAGUUUACUGCAAAGUGUUGUUAAUGAUCCAAUAAUUCAAUUCAUAAGAACUUCUAUUAAAGAAAUAACCAGGGGGGAUCCCUGGGUGGCGCAGCGGUUUAGCGCCUGCCUUUGGCCCAGGGCGCGAUCCUGGAG